GGGCGCGUAGCUCAGUUGGUAGAGCAGCUGACUCUUAAUCAGCGGGUCCACGGUUCGAGUCCGUGCGCGCCCA
rnacentral:tRNA from 1 species